ensembl:lncRNA
AAUAAGCCACCACCCAAAACUUGAUGGCUUGAAAGUACAUUUUAUCAUUUCUCAUAAUUCUGCAAUCUGAGCUGAGUUCAGCUAGGUGGUUCUUCUGUUCAUGGAGUAUCUACUGGGAUUAGGACAUCCAAGAAAACUUCUUAACCCCCAGCUUUGGUGCCUUGGCUGAGAUAAAUGGAAGAGCUGGGCCAUUCUCUCUCUUUCUCUGGCCUCUUCAGGUGGCUUCCUCACAGUAUGAUGACAUCAGAGUACAUGGCAGAUGGCUUCCAACUGGGAGGAAGAAGAAGCUUCCAGUGCAUAUAGGGUCUGGGUUCAGAACUACCAGAACAUUAUUUCUACUGCACUCUGUUGAUCAAAGCAAGUCACAAGACCAGCCCUUCAGGGAAAGGAAGCACUUUCUACUUCUUGAUAGAAGGAGCACUUUGCACACACAGGGAGAGAUGAAUUAACAAUGGUCCUCUUUGGAGACUACCUACCCCAGAGAUCAAUGUGAUAGCUGGAGCUUUAGCUGCCACAUUGGCCUAUGAAGUGAAUUUGAAGAUGCAAGUCGUAUACUAAGGAUGACAAAACAAAAAGAGGAAAUCUGAAAUUUUGAUGACACUGUAGCUCCCAUAUCAGCCAGAAUCCUAUUUUAUUUUGAAUGAUAGAGAAAUAGGCUUCCAUCUUAUUGAAACCAUUGUUAUUUCCUCCUUUACCUGGGACAUCACAAGCCUAGAGAAUUUUUGGAAGGCCUUGACUAAAGAGUGAAAAAUUAAGGAUUUUAUUUGUUUUUUGGUAUGUUCAUUUUUGAAGUUAAAUAAGCUGUAAAAUAAAGGUGAUAUAGCUUGACAAAAUGGUCUCUGAGCUCAAUCAUAAAAGGAAUCAAGAGAUUAUGUAUUAUUGUGUUAUGUAGUCAUUUGGUUUAAACAAAAAGAGGC